UAUGCAAGCAUUUACGCAAAUAAUGUUAUCAACGAAUACUGUUCUGCAUUAGCUUGGCAGCAAUAUAAAACAAAAUACAUUCUGUAACCGCUUUUCUCUUUUCUGUUUCUGCGGAGUAUCAAAGUAACAUAUUUUACUGUCAUAACAGUUGUAUACAUACAAUAUGGAGAUCGAAGCGAUCGCAGUUAUUGUGUUUUUACUUUCAUUCAAUUGCUGUUAUUCUAAGUCUAUUCAGCAGCAAAAUGUUUCAGUAGAUGAAGUCCAAAAUGAACGAAUUUUUGCACUGGAGACUACAGUGAUGAAAUUGGAGACUGUAAUUGACAAUGUGACAAAAUCAAAAGAUAAAUUAAUGGAUCCCGUGAUGUUUUAUGCGAAAAUAGCUAGCAGAGAUUUUAUAUUACAGACAUUAUCGACAGUAGUGUUUGAAACUGUGAUUCUAAACAUUGGCGGCCAUUACAAUCAAUAUGAUGGGAUUUUUGUUGCCCCAAGGAAAGGCGUCUACAUGUUUUCUUGGACCGUGUCUAUUCAAAAUUCGAAAUAUGUCGUUACAGAACUUGUAGUUGAAGACAAAAUCAUAUCGACCACCGGAAAUACCGAUAAUGCUGGAGGACAUCAUUCUGCAUCGAUGACGGCAUUAUGUAACAUGGGAAAGGAUGAGCAUGCGUUUAUCAGAACCGCAAAUCAUGGUGGUACAAAUUAUUUUUACAGCAAACCAGUCUAUCCACAAACGUCGUUUCUAGGAAUGCUUGUAUACGAUGAUAAGUGAACAUUUACAAACAGAAAUUCUGAAAUCGGUGUUUACAAGAUGUUGCUUCUGCAUUGAUCACUCGAUGAAAAUUAUCCGAUAUAUCAACAUAUUGCUUGAAACAUGCAAAUUUUCAAAUAUUUAUGUAUAACGAUGCUCUGUGCAAGUGAAGUUUAAAUAUUAUAAUAUGUGUUUUUGUAUACAUACGCAUCUAGAUUCGAUGUUUUCUUUUCGUUUACAUAAUGACAUGUAUGUAUCAGUAGAUAAGUUUCUUGAGUUCUGACCUGAUGCAUGCGUAUUAGUAUACUUAUUUUAACCUCAUGCAUACGUAAAUUACAUCUAAUUGUCAAGCUUAACAAAACACCUUUCAAAUAAAUGUUUGAUGAAAUAG